UUGCAGUUAAAAAGCUCGUAGUUGGAUUUUGGUGUUUGACAAAUGGUCUGCCUUCGGGUCUGCACUGUUUGUUGGCACUUCUUUUCUGGGGAACUCACUGCUCUUAAUUGAGGGGUGCUGUAACGCAGAUCGUUUACUUUGAAAAAAUUAGAGUGUUCAAAGCAGGCCAACGCAUUGAAUACAUUAGCAUGGAAUAAUGGAAUAGGACUUUGGUCUUAUUUUGUUGGUUUCUAAGGCCGAGGUAAUGAUUAAUAGGGAUAGUUGGGGGCGUUUAUAUUCCGUUGUCAGAGGUGAAAUUCCUGGAUUUACGGAAGAUAAACUACUGCGAAAGCAUUCGCCAAGGAUGUUUUCAUUAAUCAAGAACGAAAGUUAGGGGAUCGAAGACGAUCAGAUACCGUCGUAGUCUUAACCAUAAACCAUGCCGACUAGGGAUCAGCAGACGCUCUUUAACGACUCUGUUGGCACCUUGUGAGAAAUCAAAGUUUUUGGGUUCCGGGGGGAGUAUGGUCGCAAGGCUGAAACUUAAAGGAAUUGACGGAUGGGCACCACCAGGAGUGGAGCCUGCGGCUUAAUUUGACUCACACGGGGAAACUUA
rnacentral:rRNA from 1 species